rnacentral:lncRNA from 1 species
AAGACCUUGAGGGCAUUGUAUAUCCAAGUCUUGUCAGAAUGUCAUCCAAAGGCAGUUUGCAAUGCCACACUCUCCAUGAGAAGAAAGAUAUCUUGAUUGGCAACCCCUGAGUCCAUAUGUAUUUGUAAGCAUCAAGCUGAGGUCCCUUUUCUCUAACUAAAUGCCAAGCUGAAUGAACAGUAUAGUGUCUUGCUGAGUUCUGCAUCCCAAAAGCCCUGUCCUUCUCUGCAUAAUUCAUCACCAAAGGCAGCUGCUGCACCACAUGAUCAGCAAUAUCUUUUGUUGGCCCAGUCAAGAGUUGCAUGUGGUCGGUCAACCAUCCUCCUUGGGAUUGGCCCGAAGUAGGUGAAAGACGGUCUCGCGCUGAUUGUUCCGCCUGAACGGAGUGUCAGCGGUUCUGAAGAAGAAAAGGAAGAGAUAAGUUACUCCUACUAGAAAGGGACCUAGAAAAAUUAAUACGCUAUUACCUUCUUAGGCAAAGACAGAUUUCCAAGAGUAGAGAGCAUGAUUUACGGCUACAACCUUAGAUAAUGAUAAUCUGAGGAGUCUAUCUUAUGCUAUCGGAUUCUCUAACCCUGCUUACUUACCUUCUAGCCUACGAAAAAGACCUGCUUAUCGAACUGAACUUCAAUGAGACUACGCACUUGUGGCACACACGCUAUAUCAUCUCUUCAUCCCGUAAAAAGGAAAUGAGCCCAUUGAUUCACCUAUCCCAACAGCAGAAUUAUUGUGAGGAAAGCCCAGGAGAGAUCUUAGCCUGUAGGGUUAUUCUUACCCUUGGCCUUCUUCUCCUCGUUUUCAUUGGGUCACUGCACUAAAGCUAAGGAUUUAUUUUCUUAGUUACAUGAGUUCGAUCCCUUUCUUGUCCUCUUCAAUCUUUGAAAGCUCAGCCAAUCCGAGAGUUUGUUUAAGAGUCUUUCUAUGGGAAUAAAGAGAGGGUACUGAUCACUAG